GACGAACGCUGGCGGCGUGCCUAAUACAUGCAAGUAGAACGCUGAAGGAGGAGCUUGCUCUUCUGGAUGAGUUGCGAACGGGUGAGUAACGCGUAGGUAACCUGCCUGGUAGCGGGGGAUAACUAUUGGAAACGAUAGCUAAUACCGCAUAAGAGUAGAUGUUGCAUGACAUUUGCUUAAAAGGUGCAAUUGCAUCACUACCAGAUGGACCUGCGUUGUAUUAGCUAGUUGGUGGGGUAACGGCUCACCAAGGCGACGAUACAUAGCCGACCUGAGAGGGUGAUCGGCCACACUGGGACUGAGACACGGCCCAGACUCCUACGGGAGGCAGCAGUAGGGAAUCUUCGGCAAUGGACGGAAGUCUGACCGGGCAACGCCGCGUGAGUGAAGAAGGUUGUCGGAUCGUAAAGCUCUGUUGUAAGAGAAGAACGAGUGUGAGAGUGGAAAGUUCACACUGUGACGGUAUCUGACCAGAAAGGGACGGCUAACUACGUG
rnacentral:rRNA from 1 species